UUUUAGAUAUAUUAUUGGGUUUGAGUGCAUAGAUGAAACUUAGAUACAGCAUCUCUUAUAAGUGAAUGGUGUCAUGAUGCAUACUUGUCAAUGAGAACAAAUUGGCAGUUGAUAGUGCGUGCUUUGUACCGAGUCAAAGUCAUUAGCUCAAUUUGCAAGUAUGGAUGUGAAACUUUGCAGUAUCAAUUAGAACUGGAGUGAAAUAUUGCUUAAAUUUUGACUUUUUAGAUAGCAAUAGUUUGUCACCUGAUGAUUGUAAUUGGAGUUGAGAAUGAAUUUAUGGCGCAGCUCUUUGUUAUUCGAAUGAUGGGAGGA
rnacentral:misc_RNA from 1 species